rnacentral:lncRNA from 1 species
CUUACACCAGCCAAAGAGUAAGAAGGUUUGACUCAGAAACCUCACAAUUAAAAGGCUUUGAAUCAUUUGGAGAAGGCCAGUUGGACUUACAAGAGAGUGCAAUUGGGAAACUUACCCAGAGUCCAUGACAAUGUGUCUGUCUAAUGAACUACCCUGGCUGUUGUGUGAGAACCAUUUUGGUUUUAUUACUGGUGGUGAUACUACUUUUCAACCUUGGAAGCUGUCCUCUGCCUUGGAAGAUUCAGGAGAAAGACUGGUAGCUAUAGAGCACCUAUGAUGGGGAUAUCCCUCCUAUAUUGUGGAAAGAAUAUAAGAUGAGCUUCACAAUUUCAUUAUGGUCGCUUUCAUAUGCAGGAAGCUUUUCAGUUUAAGAGAAAAUCUGAAUGUCACUUUCAUAUAACACAAACAUUGUAAAAGCAAUAUCUGUGUAUCAGCAUUUCAAUGUGUAUUUUAAAGGGUAAU